CGGGUGUAAACCUCUUCAGUAGGGAAGAAGCGAAAGUGACGUACCUGCAGAAGAAGCGCCGGCUAACUACGUGCCAGCAGCCGCGUAAUACGUAGGCGCAAGCGUAUCUGAAUAUGGGCGUAAAGAGCUCGUAGAGGUUUGUCGCGUCUGCCGUGAAAGUCCGGGCUCAACUCCUGAUCUGCGGUGGUACGGGCAGACUAGAGUGAUGUAGGGGAGACUGGAAUUCCUGUGUAGCGGUGAAAUGCGCAGAUAUCAGGAGGAACACCGAUGGCGAAGGCAGGUCUCUGGGCAUUAACUGACGCUGAGGAGCGAAAGCAUGGGGAGCGAACAGGAUUAGAUACCCUGGUAGUCCAUGCCGUAAACGUUGGGCACUAGGUGUGGGGGACAUUCCACGUUUUCCGCCCCGUAGCUAACCCAUUAAGUCCCCCCCCUGGGGAGUACGGCCGCAAGGCUAAAAUUCAAAGGAAUUGACGGGGGCCCGCCCAAGCGGCGGAGCAUGCGGAUUAAUUGGAUGCAACGGGAAGAACCUUACCAAGGCUUGACAUGAACCGGUAAUACCUGGAGCCAGGUGCCCCGCUUGCGGUCGGUUUACAGGUGGUGCAUGGUUGUCGUCAGCUCGUGUCGUGAGAUGUUGGGUUAAGUCCCGCAACGAGCGCAACCCUCGUUCUAUGUUGCCAGCACGUGAUGGUGGGGACUCAUAGGAGACUGCCGGGGUCAACUCGGAGGAAGGUGGGGACGACGUCAAAUCAUCAUGCCCCUUAUGUCUUGGGCUUCACGCAUGCUACAAUGGCCGGUACAAAGGGUUGCGAUACUGUGAGGUGGAGCUAAUCCCAAAAAGCCGGUCUCAGUUCGGAUUGGGGUCUGCAACUCGACCCCAUGAAGUCGGAGUCGCUAGUAAUCGCAGAUCAGCAACGCUGCGGUGAAUACGUUCCCGGGCCUUGUACACACCGCCCGUCAAGUCACGAAAGUUGGUAACACCCGAAGCCGGUGGCCUAACCCCUUGUGGGAGGGAGCUUCGAAGGUGGAUCGGGU
rnacentral:rRNA from 1 species